rnacentral:rRNA from 1 species
AUGGCGGAGGAACCAUCUGCCAAGCGUCCCCGUGGUGAGACGUCCGACCAGAGCACCAAGGUCGACGACAUUCAGGUCCACGGUCAGAAGCACGACUACAAAGUGCACCUCAAGGAGGUUGACAUCCACGGCAAGGAAAAGUUGGAUGUCAUAUGCACCAGCAAUCCUGACGAAGCCAACAAGAUGAUCAGCAGGAUCCUGAAGAGGGUAUGCGGCUUGUACCCUUAG